rnacentral:rRNA from 1 species
AUUGAACGCUGGCGGCAGGCCUAACACAUGCAAGUCGAACGGUAACAGGAAGAAGCUUGCUUCUUUGCUGACGAGUGGCGGACGGGUGAGUAAUGUCUGGGAAACUGCCUGAUGGCGGGGGAUAACUACUGGAAACGGUAGCUAAUACCGCAUAACGUCGCAAGACCACAGAGGGGGACCUUCGGGCCUCUUUCCAUCGGAUGUGCCCAGAUGGGAUUAGCUAGUAGGUGGGGUAACGGCUCACCUAGGCGACGAUCCCUAGCUGGUCUGAGAGGAUGACCAGCCACACUGGAACUGAGACACGGUCCAGACUCCUACGGGAGGCAGCAGUGGGGAAUAUUGCACAAUGGGCGCAAGCCUGAUGCAGCCAUGCCGCGUGUAUGAAGAAGGCCUUCGGGUUGUAAAGUACUUUCAGCGGGGAGGAAGGAAGUAAAGUUAAUACCUUUGCUCAUUGACGUUACCCGCAGAAGAAGCACCGGCUAACUCCGUG